rnacentral:lncRNA from 1 species
AAAUCUUGGCCCACUAGUUGGCCACUUCAAGGAGUGGAUAUGCAGUUUCAAGGUGUUGGCACUUUAUCCCAAAUAAAACAAAGCACCAGGUGGCUUAAAUGUAUAGGGCAAGAAGGUCAGGUAGGAAAAUUAAGGCCAUACGUGGCUGAUAUAGCCAUUAACUUAUGGGGAAGAGAUCUACUACAGCAGUGGAAAACUCAAAUUAAUAUCCCCUCAGUUUCAAGGUCUGGCCCUGAAAUUCAUCAGGCUCCUAAUAAAAACUUUAAAUCAGUCAGGGAAUGUUAUCAAGGAAUGUUAUCAAGUCCAAGCUGUCCAUAAGCAAGAUACAGCAGAGGCUGACAAUUUAGUGCUACCCCAAGGAGCCACUGCUGUUAAGACAACAACAGCCUUGCCACUAAGGUGGCUGACUGACCAACCCAUCUGGGUUGAUCAGUGGUCUAUGACAAAAGAAAAA